GAUUGCAGGCUGCAACUCGCCUGUAUGAAGUCGGAAUUGCUAGUAAUCGUGGAUCAGCAUGCCACGGUGAAUACGUUCCCGGGCCUUGUACACACCGCCCGUCACACCAUGAGAGCCGGGAACACCCGAAGUCCGUAGUCUAACCUAUAUGGAGGACGCGGCCGAAGGUGGGUUUGGUAAUUGGGGUGAAGUCGUAACAAGGUACC
rnacentral:rRNA from 1 species